GAGGUUGAACCCUGAAUGGUUGGAGCAAGUAUGGACACAACAUUAAAGCUGGAUUCAGCUCUAAAUUUGGAUUGUGAUUAAAUAGUUGACACAGCAUAGGUUUCUGACACAGAAUGAAUGUGGUCUAAUGAACUUAAAAAUAUUUUUUUGCCUUGAGCAAUUCACUAUGCUGUUGAAAAUUAAUCCUCUCAAAAAAAUGUUUGAAGAAAUUUUCUUUUUAUUUAUGAAAUCUGAAAUGAGAAAAAUUUAACCCCAAUUUUUUUUUCACAUCCCCCUUUCCCUUUUUCCAAAACUGAUCUCAAUUCAAAUUUCUAAUGGAGUUUGCAACAAUAACUACUCAUUUAAACAUCAUAAAAUAUUAAAAUGUAAAAUAAAGUGCUUGUUAUCACUGAAUGGUAAAGAUUGUUUUAAUUUAUCAGUUGGUAGUAAAAGUGAAUAUACAUUGUAUAUUGUAUAAAAC
rnacentral:lncRNA from 1 species